rnacentral:piRNA from 1 species
UUUUAAGCAUGAGUGGCACACAUAAG